GGGGUUGUACUGGUUUCGACGGGGGUUUUGAAAUUAUAGAAGCCAUUCGUGGACCAGAGCCACGUUAAAAGCUGGAAAUCUAAAUAUAAACGCAGACGAAAAAUUUGCAUUAGCUGCCUAAGGGCGGCAGUCGGCCUCGGAUCUCCCGUAGUCUGAGUUCACCGGCUUCAUCCAUGCGGGGCACUCAUUUGCUUAAGCUUUGCGGCAGAUGAAGAUUCAUGAAGCUACUGAUGUCCAUCGCCCGUUCGUAGGCAGUGGACAGAGGGAAUGAAUGUAUGCGGACUGUAAUGGGAGAAACUAUUUUGGAAGGGCCUUCGGACGCGGGUUCGAUUCCCGCCAGCUCCACU
rnacentral:tmRNA from 1 species